GUCGGCAUCCUGGGUUCCGGAAGCCGGAGAGCUGGAGCUUUGAAGCCACCCCGGUCAAAGGAUGCUGAGUCCGGAGCGCCUAGCCCUACCGGACUACGAGUAUCUGGCUCAGCGACAUGUCCUCACCUACAUGGAGGAUGCAGUGUGCCAGCUGCUAGAAAACAGGGAAGAUAUUAGCCAAUAUGGAAUUGCCAGGUUCUUCACUGAAUAUUUUAACAGUGUAUGCCAGGGAACACACAUUCUCUUUCGAGAAUUCAGCUUCGUCCAAGCCACCCCCCACAAUAGGGUAUCAUUUUUACGGGCCUUCUGGAGAUGCUUCCGAACUGUGGGCAAAAAUGGCGGUAAGUCUUCCCAAAUUCUUUUUCCUUCCUUCCUUCCUUCCUUCCUUUCUUCCUUCCUUCCUUCCUUCUUCUCUCUCUCUUUCAAACUUUUUCUUUUGUUCCUAUAAAUAUUGUUUGAAUGCAUGCUAUUCAAGGCAUUUAGAAUACCUCACUUUUGAGGAGUUGUCUGGUUUAUGUCAAAGAUAUUACUAUUACCACUACCAUCACUAAUGGUACCUAUUAAGAGCCAAGUGUAGCUCUUUACAUGUAGUAACUCAUUUAUCUUUACAAGGGCUCUCUGUGGUAGAUACCAUAAUCCCCAUUUUGUAACUAAUGAAACUGAGGAUCAGAGAGGUUAAGUAACUUGGCAAGGUUACAUAGUAAAUUCUGGGCCCAGAUUUACACCCAGGCAGUCUGACUUCACAGCCCUUGCUCUUGGCAGAUAUUAAAAUGCCAUGCAGUAAAUACAAGGAAUAA
rnacentral:sRNA from 1 species